rnacentral:rRNA from 1 species
GAUGAACGCUGGCGGCGUGCCUAAUACAUGCAAGUCGAGCGAACAUACGAGGAGCUUGCUCCUCUGACGUUAGCGGCGGACGGUUGAGUAACACGUGGAUAACCUACCUAUAAGACUGGGAUAACUUCGGGAAACCGGAGCUAAUACCGGAUAAUAUAUUGAACCGCAUGGUUCAAUAGUGAAAGACGGUUUUGCUGUCACUUAUAGAUGGAUCCGCGCCGCAUUAGCUAGUUGGUAAGGUAACGGCUUACCAAGGCGACGAUGCGUAGCCGACCUGAGAGGGUGAUCGGCCACACUGGAACUGAGACACGGUCCAGACUCCGACGGGAGGCAGCAGUAGGGAAUCUUCCGAAAUGGGCGAAAGCCUGACGGAGCAACGCAGCGUGAGUGAUGAAGGUCUUCGGAUCGUAAAACUCUGUUAUUAGGGAAGAACAAAGGUGUAAGUAACUAUGCACGUCUUGACGGUACCUAAUCAGAAAGCCACGGCUAACUACGUG